GAUGAACGCUGGCGGCGUGCCUAAUACAUGCCAGUCGAGCGAACGGACGAGAAGCUUGCUUUUCUGAUGUUAGCGGCGGACGGGUGAGUAACACGUGGAUAACCUACCUAUAAGACUGGGAUAACUUCGCGAAACCGGAGCUAAUACCGGAUAAUAUUUUGAACCGCAUGGUUCAAAAGUGAAAGACGGUCUUGCUGUCACUUAUAGAUGGAUCCGCGCUGCAUUAGCUAGUUGGUAAGGUAACGGCUUACCAAGGCAACGAUGCAUAGCCGACCUGAGAGGGUGAUCGGCCACACUGGAACUGAGACACGGUCCAGACUCCUACGGGAGGCAGCAGUAGGGAAUCUUCCGCAAUGGGCGAAAGCCUGACGGAGCAACGCCGCGUGAGUGAUGAAGGUCUUCGGAUCGUAAAACUCUGUUAUUAGGGAAGAACAUAUGUGUAAGUAACUGUGCACAUCUUGACGGUACCUAAUCAGAAAGCCACGGCUAACUACGUG
rnacentral:rRNA from 1 species